GAUGAACGCUGGCGGCGUGCCUAAUACAUGCAAGUCGAGCGAACAGACGGGAAGCUUGCCUCUCUGAUGUUAGGGGCGGGCGGGAGUGUAACACGUGGAAACCGUCCUUAUAAGUCUGAGAUAGGUUGGGAAAACCGGCUCUUACACCGGAUGCUGUUUUGAACGGCAGGGUUGAAAAGUGAAAGACGGUCUUGGUGUUACGUAUAGAUGGAUCCGAGCUGCAUUAGCGAGUUGGUAAGGUAAAGGCUUACCAUGGCAACGAUGCAUCGCCGACCUGAGGGGGUGAGCGGGCACACGGUAACUGUGACACGGUCCUGACGCCUACGGGAGGCCGCGGGGGGGAAUCGUCCGCAAUGGGCGAAAGCAUGACGGAGCAACGCCGCGUGGGUGAUGAAGGGCUUCGGAUCUUAAAGCUCUGUUAUUAUGGAAGAAGAGAUGUAGAAGUAGCUGUGCACAUCUUGACGGUACCGAAUCAGAAAGCCCCGGCUAACUACGUG
rnacentral:rRNA from 1 species